GAUCCUGGCUCAGGAUGAACGCUGGCGGCGUGCAUAACACAUUCAAGUCGAACGGACGACCCGGAGCUUGCUCCGGGAAGUUAGUGGCGGACGGGUGAGUAACGCGUGAGCAACCUGCCUGUGUGAGCGGAAUAACGUCCGGAAACAGACGCUAAUACCGCAUGACUCACGGACUUCGCAUGGAGACCGUGGCAAAGAUUUAUCGCACACAGAUGGGCUCGCGUCCGAUUAGG
rnacentral:rRNA from 1 species